rnacentral:rRNA from 1 species
CUGGCCUGAAAGGGUUGGGCAAACUGAAUCAUAACCGUCGUGACUGGGAUCGGGGCUUGCAAUUGUUCCCCGUGAACGAGGAAUUCCUGGUAAGUGCAAGUCAUAAGCUUGCGCUGAUUACGUCCCUGCCCUUUGUACACACCGCCCGUCGCUACUACCGAUUGAAUGGUUUAGCAAGGUCAUCGGAUCGGUGCUAUUGUAGUUGUUUCGGCAACUCGACCGGCGCUGAGAAGACGACCAAACUUGAUCAUUUAGAGGAAGUAAAAGUCGUAACAAGGUUUCCGUAGGUGAACCUGCGGAAGGAUCAUU